GGCCCAACUUAACAACAUACUUGUAAUUAAUGACAUGAUCAAAGGUCUGGCAAGUCAGCUAUUAUUACUAAAGGUAAUGGCAAUUUUAAUGUUCCAAUGUCCUAUAUUCUUUGUCAUUACUUCACAGGAGGGCUGGAGAGUGAUACAGACGCAUUCACAAACAGAUGAUUUUCCGGUCUUUUGCUGCAGUUUAGAAUGAUGUUUAAUUUUGCGUUUCACAUACCAAGGUUUAUCAUACAGUCAAUAGUUGUGGUGAGCAUCUGCCGGGCUGGUGAAAUCGGUAUGCUCUCUUCCUCCUGUGUCCUCGUCCUUUCCUGUCACCUAUGACCCUUUUUACAUACCCAGCAGCUAACCCCCGCCACCAAGUGUCCAAAAUAAUGUUGCAGUAUAAAUAUAAGCAAACUGAGACACCAACAACACCCAUAACAUGGCUAUUACACAACUGCCUAGAACCCUCCAAGUUCACUGACUACAAUAAGGCACAAUAAACUUAAGAUCCUCUUUUAAAAAGCCUUAAAGUGCACCUAUCAUGCUAUUUUUAGGCAAUAGCAUAGGUCUCAGAUAUAUAAAAAUAUAUAAAAAACAUGUCUAUGAAGUGUUUUGCUCAAAAUACCAAACAGAUCACCCAUUGUAGCAAUGCCUCAUAUCCCUCUAUUUCACUUCCUGUUUCAAAAGUGCUGAUUUUGGGUAUAAAAAAUUGAUUUAAAAAAAAAAAGGAGGCGGCUGAGUAGGGCUACUCGAUUAUGGCAAAAAUCAUAAUCUCGAUUAUUUGGGUUAAUAAUUGAUAAUUUACUUUGAAAACAUCCAUUUAUUGAAAAAAAAAAUUUAAUAGUAUGUUUUUAACAGUUGAACCCUGAACUGUAAGUAUAUUUCAAC